rnacentral:rRNA from 1 species
UACGUAGGGUGCGAGCGUUGUCCGGAUUUAUUGGGCGUAAAGAGCUCGUAGGUGGUCUGUUGCGUCGGUUGUGAAAACCCGGGGCUUAACUCCGGGCCUGCAGUCGAUACGGGCAGACUAGAGUUCGGCAGGGGAGACUGGAAUUCCUGGUGUAGCGGUGAAAUGCGCAGAUAUCAGGAGGAACACCGAUGGCGAAGGCAGAUCUCUGGGCCGUAACUGACGCUGAGGAGCGAAAGCAUGGGGAGCGAACAGG